rnacentral:rRNA from 1 species
AUACGGAGGGUGCAAGCGUUGUCCGGAUUUAUUGGGUUUAAAGGGUGCGUAGGCGGUGCGCUAAGUCAGUGGUGAAAUCCCGCAGCUCAACUGCGGAACUGCCAUUGAUACUGGCGCACUUGAGUACGGACGAGGUAGGCGGAAUUUAUGGUGUAGCGGUGAAAUGCAUAGAUACCAUAAAGAACACCGAUAGCGAAGGCAGCUUACUAGACCGUAACUGACGCUCAGGCACGAAAGCGUGGGGAGCGAACAGGAUUAGAAACCCCGGUAGUCC